rnacentral:rRNA from 1 species
AUGAACGCUGGCGGCGUGCCUAAUACAUGCAAGUCGAGCGAACAGACGAGGAGCUUGCUCCUCUGAUGUUAGCGGCGGACGGGUGAGUAACACGUGGAUAACCUACCUAUAAGACUGGGAUAACUUCGGGAAACCGGAGCUAAUACCGGAUAACAUGUUGAACCGCAUGGUUCAACAGUGAAAGACGGUCUUGCUGUCACUUAUAGAUGGAUCCGCGCCGCAUUAGCUAGUUGGUAAGGUAACGGCUUACCAAGGCAACGAUGCGUAGCCGACCUGAGAGGGUGAUCGGCCACACUGGAACUGAGACACGGUCCAGACUCCUACGGGAGGCAGCAGUAGGGAAUCUUCCGCAAUGGGCGAAAGCCUGACGGAGCAACGCCGCGUGAGUGAAGAAGGUCUUCGGAUCGUAAAACUCUGUUAUUAGGGAAGAACAAAUGUGUAAGUAACUAUGCACGUCUUGACGGUACCUAAUCAGAAAGCCACGGCUAACUACG